CCUACGGGAGGCUGCAGUGGGGAAUAUUGGACAAUGGGGGGAACCCUGAUCCAGCCAUGCCGCGUGUGUGAAGAAGGCCCUCGGGUUGUAAAGCACUUUCAGUGAGGAAGAACGCCUGGUGGUUAAUACCCAUCAGGAAAGACAUCACUCACAGAAGAAGCACCGGCUAACUCCGUGCCAGCAGCCGCGGCAAUACGGAGGGUGCGAGCGUUAAUCGGAAUUACUGGGCGUAAAGCGCGCGUAGGUGGCUUGAUAAGCCGGUUGUGAAAGCCCCGGGCUCAACCUGGGAACGGCAUCCGGAACUGUCAAGCUGGAGUGCAGGAGAGGAAGGUAGAAUUCCCGGUGUAGCGGUGAAAUGCGUAGAGAUCGGGAGGAAUACCAGUGGCGAAGGCGGCCUUCUGGACUGACACUGACACUGAGGUGCGAAAGCGUGGGUAGCAAACAGGAUUAGAUACCCCUGUAGUC
rnacentral:rRNA from 1 species